rnacentral:rRNA from 1 species
GGGAACUGCGUUNUGAACUGGCAAGCUAGAGUGUGUCAGAGGGGGGUAGAAUUCCACGUGUAGCAGUGAAAUGCGUAGAGAUGUGGAGGAAUACCGAUGGCGAAGGCAGCCCCCUGGGAUAACACUGACGUUCAUGCUCGAAAGCGUGGGUAGCAAACAGGAUUAGAUACCCUGGUAGUCCACGCCCUAAACGAUGUCAAUUAGCUGUUGGGCAACUUGAUUGCUUAGUAGCGUAGCUAACGCGUGAAAUUGACCGCCUGGGGAGUACGGUCGCAAGAUUAAAACUCAAAGGAAUUGACGGGGACCCGCACAAGCGGUGGAUGAUGUGGAUUAAUUCGAUGCAACGCGAAGAACCUUACCUGGUCUUGACAUGUACGGAAUCUCUCAGAGACGGGAGAGUGCCUUCGGGAACCGUAACACAGGUGCUGCAUGGCUGACGUCAGCUCGUGUCGUGAGAUAUUGGGUUAANUCCCGCAACGAGCGCAACCCUUGUCAUUAGUUGCCAUCAUUUAGUUGGGCACUCUAAUGAGACUGCCGGUGACAAACCGGAGGAAGGUGGGGAUGACGUCAAGUCCUCAUGGCCCUUAUGACCAGGGCUUCACACGUCAUACAAUGGUCGGUACAGAGGGUCGCCAAGCCGCGAGGUGGAGCCAAUCUCACAAAACCGAUCGUAGUCCGGAUUGCACUCUGCAACUCGAGUGCAUGAAGUCGGAAUCGCUAGUAAUCGCAGGUCAGCAUACUGCGGUGAAUACGUUCCCGGGUCUUGUACAC